rnacentral:lncRNA from 1 species
CCGGCUCAAGGCACGAGAUACCACACAAACACAUAGUAAAACACAGCACAAGAUUACAUAACAUAAAUACGGCACCCAUAAGUAAUAUAAAACAGAGGAAAGCACACAGAUUCGUAAUAAAACAUGGAACACGGACUCAUAACAGGAAUAAAACCCCCACCAAGUAAUUUCCUACACUAGCGACUCAAACUGGCCCUAGUCCUCUGCCCUAAUUCGCGUCCUCCAGACCUUCCUAUCUAGGGUCAUGUCCUCGGUGAGCUGUAACUGCUCCAUGUCCCGCCUAAUCACCUCACCCCAGUACUUCUUCGGCCUACCCCUACCCCGCCUAAAACCAUCCAACGCUAGCCUCUCACACCUACGAACCGGGGCAUCCAUGCCCCUCCUCUUCACGUGUUCGAACCAUCUCAAUCGGGCUUCCCGCAUCUUGCACUCCACUGGAGUCACACCAACCUUCUCCCGGAUAGU